rnacentral:lncRNA from 1 species
GCCUCCCGGCACCGCUGGUCCGAGUGCACCCGGGUCCUAAAGACCCCCGAUUCUCCCUCCCCGUGCAAGGCCAAGCCCAGUCAGGAACUCUCAGCAAGCUCCAGGCGAAAUCAAACCCAAACUUUUUUUUCCCAUUAAGAUCAAAGCAAAGAGAGUUAUGUCCCGUCCCGUCCCGUCUUACUGCCCCCUCCCUCCAAGCAUGGCAACGUGGCUUUGCCACUGUCAGCAGUUCGCUGAGGGAAUGGGCAGGGAAAGCGGGCUGCACUCCACCCAGGAAAGUCUUGGGUUCCUGAUCCCAGCAGCAGCCACCAAGUCAGACCAACUGGCACUGACCUGCGCGCUCGCGCGCUCGCGUGCCACACCAUUGCAGGGCUCCAGCUGGAGAACGGGAGUCAUAAAAGUGGGAUCAAGAGAACCAGGCACACAGGGCUGGACUUGCUUAUCAUAAUGGAGAAACUGAGAAGCACGGAGAGAAGUCACUUUGUCAGGGACCAUCAAGAGCCACCUACAGCUAAUGUUCAGCACACACUCAGCCUUGACCUGGCGGAGCCCAGCUGUGUCAAGUACUCAGGUCUAUGAGAGCGUAGAGUUGAAAAACUAGACUAGGCCAAAGAACAAACAACAAAAACAACAAACAGGCAGAGGUCAAGAUAAAAAUGUAUAUUCUUGGACCAGAGAGAUAGCUGAGCCAUUAAGAGUAUGUACUGCUCUUACAGAGAACCCAUCUGGGGCUUCUACCACUGAUUGGGGUUGGGGGGGGGCUUGCAACCUCCAGGGACUCUGAUGGUUCUUAUGGCUUCUGUAGACAUCUGACUUUCAUGCAUGCCGUCACUCCCCUUCACACAUACACACCAUUUAAAAUAAAAGUAAAAAAUUUUAAACUCUUGUUUUGAACCACCUCCUUCUCCAAAAGGUUUCUUGCCC